GACGAACGCUGGCGGCGUGCUUAACACAUGCAAGUCGAACGGAAAGGCCCUGCUUUUGUGGGGUGCUCGAGUGGCGAACGGGUGAGUAACACGUGAGUAACCUGCCCUUGACUUUGGGAUAACUUCAGGAAACUGGGGCUAAUACCGGAUAGGAGCUCCUGCUGCAUGGUGGGCGUUGGAAAGUUUCGGCGGUUGGGGAUGGACUUGCGGCUUAUCAGCUUGUUGGUGAGGUAGUUGCUUACCAAGGCUUUGACGGGUAGCCGGGCUGAGAGGGGGACAGGACACGUUGGGCUGGGACUGCGGCACAGACUCCUCUGGGAGGCAGGAGUGGAGAAGAGUGCACAAUGGGAGGAAGCCUGAUGCAGCAUCGCCGCGUGGGGGAUGACGGCAUUCGGUUUGUAAACCGAUUUCGCCUGUGACGAAGAGUGAGUGACGGUAAUGGGUAAAGAAGCACCGGCUAACUACGUG
rnacentral:rRNA from 1 species